rnacentral:lncRNA from 1 species
GGACCUGUGAAGCCUGCCUUUUCCCUGGCUUCUGGACCAUGAGUUGGAGCCACAGGAGACGAGAAACCUGCAGCAGUCCCAAGAGGUUAGAGGCAGAGGGGGAGGGAAAUGCAGUGCUAGGCCCAUCCAGGGGCAGAAGGAGAAAUGUGCCAGGAGCAUACCUGCUGCUGUGCACGGGGCCCCAUGGGGCAGAGCUCAGGCUCAGAUGCCUGGCUGGGUCUGUGCUGCUGGCCCCGAGCUCAGGAGCUGUCACAGAGCUGGGGAGCAGCUUUCCCACCAAUAGCUGCCUCUCCCAACUUGUGCUCAGAGCUGGCAGUGCCCCUCAGCAGGGAGGGGUGUGCAGCCUGGGCACAGUAAACGUGUGCCUCUGCUGUUCCCUUGUUCUUGUGCUUCCAGGAUAAACCAGGGCUGGCAGAAGGGAAGGGGACAGGGCUUGUCUUAAGGCCAGGGAAGCUCACCUUGCUAAUGCAGUUAACACCUUUCUUUAGAUGCCCACCCCAACAGUCCUCACUUGUACCAGCAGCUCCUCACUCUGUAGAAUGUUGGAGGCUGGGGUUUUUUUGCACUGAAAACAGACGUCAAGUCAUGGAAUGACCAUCAGAAAAAAAAUUGGUGGUUGUAGCAGUUUGCAUGGUGUGCACAAGAAGCUAUCUAUAGCAACUGGAAAGUCACAGAGGGUGCGUUAUCACCGCCCUGCAGGACUCAUUCUGGCCCCAUACAGGGAGUUAUAUAUAGAGCUGUAUACAAAAAUACAGAAGAGCCCUGUGCUUAUGUUGGAAAGCCUCAUUAGGACUGCUCUUGGGCAGACUCCUGUCCUUGGCCUCACCAGAGAACUGCAUAUUUCAGAAGAUAUUUUGGAAGGAUGCUGGACGAUUUCACAAGAAAGGAAGAGGUGGGAUCCCCCCUCCCAGGGUGAGGCAGAGCCUUUGUCUCAUGCCUGGAGCAAGCAGGGAGAGUUCUGGACAGGAUCCCAGGCUGCAGAAAUAGCCUCAUGAAAGCCUCCACGCUCUCCCAGACUGAGCACCUAAAGCAGUUGCUUCCCUGGAACAGAGGUGUGGUGCCUACAAGAUGCCUAUCAAACUGCUCACUCUCUCCUUUCUAGCUGGACAGGAGAGAGAAAAUAAGAUUGAAAAGGACUCAGAGGUUCAGAUAAGGCAGUUUACUAAAGCAAAAGUGAAAGUUUGCACUUGCACAAGUAAAGAGAAAGUAAAGAUAGGUUUAUUCUCUACUUCCCAUUGGCAAGAGAUGUUCAGCCACUUCACCAGAAUAAGGCUUCAGCACCUGGAGUGGUGGCUCCAGAAGGCAAACAUUGUAAAUAAAAGAUGUCCC